rnacentral:rRNA from 1 species
AGUGAACGCUGGCGGCAGGCCUAACACAUGCAAGUCGAACGGCAGCACAAGAGAGCUUGCUCUCUGGGUGGCGAGUGGCGGACGGGUGAGGAAUGCAUCGGAAUCUGCCCAUUUGUGGGGGAUAACCUCGGGAAACCGGGACUAAUACCGCAUACGACCUACGGGUGAAAGCAGGGGAUCUUCGGACCUUGCGCAGAUGGAUGAGCCGAUGCCGGAUUAGCUAGUUGGAGGGGUAAGGGCCCACCAAGGCGACGAUCCGUAGCUGGUCUGAGAGGAUGAUCAGCCACACUGGGACUGAGACACGGCCCAGACUCCUACGGGAGGCAGCAGUGGGGAAUAUUGGACAAUGGGCGCAAGCCUGAUCCAGCCAUGCCGCGUGUGUGAAGAAGGCCUUCGGGUUGUAAAGCACUUUUGUUGGGAAAGAAAAGCAGCCGGUUAAUACCCGGUUGUCAUGACGGUACCCAAAGAAUAAGCACCGGCUAACUUCGUG